GACGAACGCUGGCGGCGUGCCUAAUACAUGCAAGUCGAGCGAAUGACAGAGGAGCUUGCUCCUCUCGAUUUAGCGGCGGACGGGUGAGUAACACGUGGGUAACCUGCCUUAUAGCUUAGGAUAACUCCGGGAAACCGGGGCUAAUACCGAAUAAUACUUUUGGACACAUGUUCGAAAGUUGAAAGAUGGUUCUGCUAUCACUAUAAGAUGGACCCGCGCUGCAUUAGCUAGUUGGUGAGGUAACGGCUCACCAAGGCCACGAUGCAUAGCCGACCUGAGAGGGGGAUCGGCCACAAUGGGACUGAGACACGGCCCAGACUCCUACGGGAGGCAGCAGUAGGGAAUCUUCCACAAUGGACGAAAGUCUGAUGGAGCAACGCCGCGUGAGUGAAGAAGGAUUUCGGUUCGUAAAACUCUGUUGUAAGGGAAGAACAAGUACAGUAGUAACUGGCUGUACCUUGACGGUACCUUAUUAGAAAGCCACGGCUAACUACGUGCCAGCCGCCGCAGUAAAAC
rnacentral:rRNA from 1 species